rnacentral:lncRNA from 1 species
CAAUUAAGAAAAAAAGAAUAAGAUAAUAACAGAGACUUGCCAGCAGCAACAAUACAAUAGACCUCCAAAAAAAAAGAAAGAAAAAAAGCAUGGCACUGGACAGGCAUACAAAAAAUAAAAUCCACACACAGACACGUACUACACGGAAAACUAAAUAUUGUGCAACACGGAACCUCAAAUCAUAUAUUGGAAUCAAAGGAUUUGUUUUAAUUCAGCUUGCUUCGAUGACCAACAAAUACGUACAUGUUUCAAAUAUUAUUAAAGUA